rnacentral:misc_RNA from 1 species
CAAUAAGUGUUUUAUGGCACUUUUUAAAUCCAUAUCCACCUUGUGUGCAAUGUCAGUCGAUCUUCUUCAUGGAGAUCGACCAAACAUCAACCUUUAUCUUUUAACUCUUUGUCUGAAAAAUAUUAUGAAUAAACAAUUCAAAAUA